rnacentral:rRNA from 1 species
GGUUAAGCGACUAAGCGUACACGGUGGAUGCCCUGGCAGUCAGAGGCGAUGAAGGACGUGCUAAUCUGCGAAAAGCGUCGGUAAGGUGAUAUGAACCGUUACAGCCGGCGAUGUCCGAAUGGGGAAACCCAGUGCAAUUCGUUGCACUAUCGUUAACUGAAUACAUAGGUUAACGAGGCGAACCGGGGGAACUGAAACAUCUAAGUACCCCGAGGAAAAGAAAUCAACCGAGAUUCCCCCAGUAGCGGCGAGCGAACGGGGAGCAGCCCAGAGUCUGAAUCAGCUUGUGUGUUAGUGGAACGGUCUGGAAAGUCCGACGGUACAGGGUGAUAGUCCCGUACACCAAAAUGCACAGGUUGUGAACUCGAAGAGUAGGGCGGGACACGUGGUAUCCUGUCUGAAUAUGGGGGGACCAUCCUCCAAGGCUAAAUACUCCUGACUGACCGAUAGUGAACCAGUACCGUGAGGGAAAGGCGAAAAGAACCCCGGCGAGGGGAGUGAAAAAGAACCUGAAACCGUGUACGUACAAGCAGUGGGAGCACCUUCGGGUGUGACUGCGUACCUUUUGUAUAAUGGGUCAGCGACUUAUAUUCUGUAGCAAGGUUAACCGUAUAGGGGAGCCGCAGGGAAACCGAGUCUUAACUGGGCGUUAAGUUGCAGGGUAUAGACCCGAAACCCGGUGAUCUAGCCAUGGGCAGGUUGAAGGUUGGGUAACACUAACUGGAGGACCGAACCGACUAAUGUUGAAAAAUUAGCGGAUGACUUGUGGCUGGGGGUGAAAGGCCAAUCAAACCGGGAGAUAGCUGGUUCUCCCCGAAAGCUAUUUAGGUAGCGCCUCGUGAACUCAUCUUCGGGGGUAGAGCACUGUUUCGGCUAGGGGGUCAUCCCGACUUACCAACCCGAUGCAAACUACGAAUACCGAAGAAUGUUAUCACGGGAGACACACGGCGGGUGCUAACGUCCGUCGUGAAGAGGGAAACAACCCAGACCGCCAGCUAAGGUCCCAAAGUCAUGGUUAAGUGGGAAACGAUGUGGGAAGGCACAGACAGCCAGGAUGUUGGCUUAGAAGCAGCCAUCAUUUAAAGAAAGCGUAAUAGCUCACUGGUCGAGUCGGCCUGCGCGGAAGAUGUAACGGGGCUAAACCAUGCACCGAAGCUGCGGCAGCGACACUAUGUGUUGUUGGGUAGGGGAGCGUUCUGUAAGCCUGCGAAGGUGUGCUGUGAGGCAUGCUGGAGGUAUCAGAAGUGCGAAUGCUGACAUAAGUAACGAUAAAGCGGGUGAAAAGCCCGCUCGCCGGAAGACCAAGGGUUCCUGUCCAACGUUAAUCGGGGCAGGGUGAGUCGACCCCUAAGGCGAGGCCGAAAGGCGUAGUCGAUGGGAAACAGGUUAAUAUUCCUGUACUUGGUGUUACUGCGAAGGGGGGACGGAGAAGGCUAUGUUAGCCGGGCGACGGUUGUCCCGGUUUAAGCAUGUAGGCUGGUUGUCCAGGCAAAUCCGGAUAAUCAAGGCUGAGGUGUGAUGACGAGGCACUACGGUGCUGAAGUAACAAAUGCCCUGCUUCCAGGAAAAGCCUCUAAGCAUCAGGUAACAUUAAAUCGUACCCCAAACCGACACAGGUGGUCAGGUAGAGAAUACCAAGGCGCUUGAGAGAACUCGGGUGAAGGAACUAGGCAAAAUGGUGCCGUAACUUCGGGAGAAGGCACGCUGGUGUGUAGGUGAAGUCCCUGCGGAUGGAGCUGAGACCAGUCGAAGAUACCAGCUGGCUGCAACUGUUUAUUAAAAACACAGCACUGUGCAAACACGAAAGUGGACGUAUACGGUGUGACGCCUGCCCGGUGCCGGAAGGUUAAUUGAUGGGGUUAUCCGUAAGGAGAAGCUCUUGAUCGAAGCCCCGGUAAACGGCGGCCGUAACUAUAACGGUCCUAAGGUAGCGAAAUUCCUUGUCGGGUAAGUUCCGACCUGCACGAAUGGCGUAAUGAUGGCCAGGCUGUCUCCACCCGAGACUCAGUGAAAUUGAACUCGCUGUGAAGAUGCAGUGUACCCGCGGCAAGACGGAAAGACCCCGUGAACCUUUACUAUAGCUUGACACUGAACAUUGAGCCUUGAUGUGUAGGAUAGGUGGGAGGCUUUGAAGCGUGGACGCCAGUCUGCGUGGAGCCAACCUUGAAAUACCACCCUUUAAUGUUUGAUGUUCUAACGUUGGCCCCUGACCGGGGUUGCGGACAGUGUCUGGUGGGUAGUUUGACUGGGGCGGUCUCCUCCCAAAGCGUAACGGAGGAGCACGAAGGUUAGCUAAUCCUGGUCGGACAUCAGGAGGUUAGUGCAAUGGCAUAAGCUAGCUUGACUGCGAGCGUGACGGCGCGAGCAGGUGCGAAAGCAGGUCAUAGUGAUCCGGUGGUUCUGAAUGGAAGGGCCAUCGCUCAACGGAUAAAAGGUACUCCGGGGAUAACAGGCUGAUACCGCCCAAGAGUUCAUAUCGACGGCGGUGUUUGGCACCUCGAUGUCGGCUCAUCACAUCCUGGGGCUGAAGUAGGUCCCAAGGGUAUGGCUGUUCGCCAUUUAAAGUGGUACGCGAGCUGGGUUUAGAACGUCGUGAGACAGUUCGGUCCCUAUCUGCCGUGGGCGCUGGAGAAUUGAGGGGGGCUGCUCCUAGUACGAGAGGACCGGAGUGGACGCAUCACUGGUGUUCGGGUUGUCAUGCCAAUGGCACUGCCCGGUAGCUAAAUGCGGAAGAGAUAAGUGCUGAAAGCAUCUAAGCACGAAACUUGCCCCGAGAUGAGUUCUCCCUGAGACUUUAAGUCUCCUGAAGGAACGUUAAAGACGAUGACGUUGAUAGGCCGGGUGUGUAAGCGCAGCGAUGCGUUGAGCUAACCGGUACUAAUGAACCGUGAGGCUUAACCUU